rnacentral:misc_RNA from 1 species
AAGAUUCGGCCCUUUUCCGGGCUCAAACCUCUUCGGCUGUGCGCCUUUCGGCCGCACGCCGUCGAACCUCUCACACCUGUGCACAUUUCGGUGGCGACCUUUGCCGGUCCGCCUCCGCCUUUCACAUCCAACUACCAGUCCAGAAUGUAAAAAACCAUAACAAAUGA